GAGAAAAGUAGUCAUCUAUGGGCCAGGAAGGCGGCUUCACAAGGAACCAAAUUAGCACCUUGACCUUGGACUUCUCAGCCUCCAGAACUAUGAGAGAUAAAUGUCUGUUGUGUAAACCACUCCAUCUGUGUAAUUUGGUUAUGGCAGCCCAAGCUAAGCGGUGAAGUAUUUGCUUAGGGCAGAAGCUUUGAAACAAAAUUAAAAUGUGCAGUGUCAUUCUACCUGGAACUUGGCCACAUGGAAUAAGAAAUACUUUGUUCUUUUAUUUCUUCAGCUGUGCAACCAUGAAGUUACUGUGGCCAAGUUCAAAAAGGGUGUUGCCUGUGUUCUCCUCUAGGAUUUUGA